rnacentral:lncRNA from 1 species
AAUCCUUUUGUUCACCAUGAUGCUUCCAGAGUCCAAACUAGGCCUCUCAAAAGUAUUUGGUGAAUGAAGUAGUGUGGAAAAUGCUUUUGACAAAGGACAGAGUGGAUGUUGUUUGGAGGAGUCGUUUAGGAGAGAAAUUAAGGUGGUGAUGGAAGCAAAGACCAAUUGAUCUAUUUGAAAUAGAAGGUAACAUUAAGGGACGGUUUAGAUAUGACAGUGGAAAACUAGCCGKGUUAGAGUAACCCCUGCAUUUCUAGCUUGCAUAACUGGAUGGCUAAUGUAGUUAACCGCUGAGAUAAGGAAGCUAGAAAAGGAACAGGUUUGCAGUGAAAACAUAGGAGUUUGGUUGCCUUGGAGACAUCCAAGAGAAGUUAAGUAGGCAUCAUUGAUGCCUAGCUGUGAGUAUAGAGCAUAAGAAAAAAAAAGCUGCAUGUUGUGCAUACUUCAUAAUGAAGUUCUGGGAGCCCAGAUGCUCAGACUUUCCCACCGCAGUGCCCCUAGUGGCAGAGGAGAAGAAUGCAGGUGGCUGGACUCUAAAGGUAACACUUCUUCUGUUCUCCCUUUAAAUUUUUAGAUUUUGUGCCAGUCUUUCCUUAUGCUCCAUGAUACAU